CUUCUUUUAAACAUUUGAACAAUAAACUUUUAUCAACAGAUAUAAUGGCCAGAGGACCAUCCAUAG
rnacentral:antisense_RNA from 1 species